AAAGCUGCCACAGAUAUCCUUGAGCCUGCCUUCUGAACACAUGGGUGUAUCUACAACCCAGGCAGGAGGAUGAGCCGCGGACAGCUUGGAAGUGUCCAACAGCCCAUGCUGAAGACUUGAGCAGUCCCAACAGUUGCCAGCAGAGGGCAGUGUCUGAGCGGGUCUGCCUCCCUCGCUGUCCGGGCGCUCAGGGGUUCCUUGACUCACCGUAGGGAACAUUUUAACUGCUCUAAAAUUAGCAAAUUCCUGUGCGGAGAGAAUAUGUCUACUCAAGGAAAAGUCCAGGAGCAAAGUCUGUUGCUGAAUGUGCUUCUCUGUGGGUAAUAAAACAGGGCCGAAGGGAGAGUGCCCUGGUGGACUCGGGUUCCGAGAGUACCUGGGAAAGAGCAGAUCAAAGUUAGCCAGGAUCACAGAGGGUUUUCUCCAUGGAAGCUUCGCUGCCUGCUCAAGUCUGGUCCCCACACUUCAAAUGGAGGCUGAAGUUUCACGGAGGAAAUGUUGUUUGCUGGACAAACAACUGGCAGGACGGAGACAUGCAAUCCCCCAACUUACCCUUUUGAUUUCGUCAAUAAUCCAAGCCCUGUCUCCUGUUGAAAAAAAAAUUUUUUUUAACGAAAGAAAGAAAGAAGGAAGGAAAGAAAGAGGAGAAAAGAAAGAGAAGGAAGAAAAGAAAGGAAGGAAAGGAGAGAAAGGAAAGAAAGAACCAGCCAGCGGCCAGAGGCACAGCUGACGGCCUGGCAGGGGUGGAGGUGGGGAGCCUGAGCGAACAGCAGACGGGCAACACUGCUGCUCAGUUUCCUCCCUCCCUUUACCCCAGGCACAUCCUGGGCGAGCAGUUCUGUUUUCUGUUGCUGCUUUGUUUAAUACUAUCGAUGUGGGAUGAACUGUAUCAUUAUAAAACCAGAAGAAUAUUGGCAGUGAAGUACCCAGAUCUGCAUAAAUAUAUCGAUCUACAUAAAUUUGCAAACCUGAAUCAGCCUCUCAGCUCUCGUGCUCUCUGCUGGUGCCUGCUCAUCCACUCUUCUCAUUUUUCCGCGCUGCUCUGCGCCCAGGGCGGCCUGUGUGUGCUGGGUCAAUGGGCUCCCUUGCUCACUGGUUUCUGGUUGGGAUGCACCAAUGAGAAGCACUUUCAAGAAGAGAGGCUUGGAUAUUUAUGCCCCAGGCUCCCUCCCUGCGGAGCUGUAGUCGGCAGUAGCUUCAUUCCUUUGCAGAUUGAUGUGGACCCACAGCUACAGGAAUAAUUAACCCUCCUCUCUUCUUCCCCUUCCAUGCCUUGGGCUGUUAGAGUUUUGCAGAUAUCGGGGUGCAUCACCACCUUGUAUUGGCUUCCUCCAUUCCUGAUCACACCCUCAGAAAUAGUCCCUUCAUUAAUUUAUCUUUAAUUAUCUCUUCUGAAUGUACUGUUUGAUUCCUGCCCCAACCCUGACUAAUACAGAAUCCUAAAUCCAUCAGCGUUCUUCAUCCUCAAAUAGGUUGUGUAUAAGUAAAUUUUUAUUGUUGUUUUUCAUUCUCUUUUCCACACAAAUAACCUCCAAGCCCAGUGGCGGUUGCUGACCACCUUUGGUAAACAAGCAACAAGUCACUGGAGACCUGCCUAAAACCCCUGCUGACCGGGUUUAUUUUCUGCAAUUCUCUCCUGUUUAUUUAUCGAAGACUUCUUCCCCUCAGCCCACAAAAAUGUCCCAUCGCUAUAAAUACUCUUCAAUUCCAUUCUAAGCUUUAAAGGCAAACAACCUGGAAGAUGAGAGGUUGGCAGGAACCAAUCUGGAUGCUUGAUGGUUUGACUAAUUCAUUAAAGGGUGGUUGUAGAAAGUUGCCAGAGAUGUAAAUUGCAUUUAUAUGCAGUCAGCCCCUUCAGGGACAGAACUGCUGUCCUAUAAACUAAAGAGUCACAGUAAACUUCCACUCUGAGUAGGUGAGGCCGUGUAGUUUCCAUUUAUUCACCACAUGUACCUAAACUGAGUUACCCGGUCCCCUACCCCAUCUUUCCCUUCUCCUUCCACCUGCUGGUAAAGGUGUGAAUGAAUGAACAAAGCCCAGAGAUUGCAGCAGGAGGACCAAGACCCUAAUCAACACAUUAGAUCACUGUGAAUAGCUGAGAGCUUCGGACACCUACUUUAACUAAUCACUAAGUGAGCCUUAGUCACUGCAGACCACCACGUGUCCUUUUGGGGUGCACCACUUCUGCACUUGCAGCUGACCAGUGCUCCAUCAUUCUCAAUCCAGCUCUCAUCCUAUUUUUAGCGCUUGUCUGGUGUCAUCUUCUGGUGACCUAAAAGAUACCCUUGAUGCCUUUUCAUCCUCCUAUUUCCUGUCCCAUCUACCCAAGGUCUGUGGAUUUCAUCUGAGUUUCUCUCUCCAGUCUGCAUUCGUCCCCCACCUCCACUUCCAGCACUCGGUCAGCAUCCCCUGGACCACUCUACUAGCCUCAUAGCUUCUCCUCUGUUGUCUGCAACGCCCUCUGCAAGGCACAGAGUGAGCAUUGCAAUAUGUGUCUGUCCCUGCUACUCUUCUGCUUAAAACCAUUCAAAAACUCCCCACUGUUUUUAGGAUAAAGACCCCAAACUCUAUAAACCUGCCCACCAUGGUCUCUACCCACCACAGCUGUCCCUUCUUUGAGUCUUCUUCCUGAUCCUUAACCUGACAUCAUCUCCGCUCAGGUCCUUUGCCUGCCGUGUUCUCACAACCAUCAACAUCUGCCUUUGCCGGGCUAACUCCUGCAGACCUCAGCUCAGACCUCCUCCCCCAGGGAGCCUUCCUGAGCUGAGACAAGACCAGCCUCCUUGUUACGCGCUCCCCUGCCUUGUGCACAGGUUGUAAUUGGCGCCUAUUUCUUCCACACUAAAACCCAUGCUCUGUGAGGUCAGGAGUCGUGUUUGUCUUUGCGUACCUGGCACUGUGCCUGGCAUAUAGGACAGUUUUUAAAAAGACCUGCUAAAGGAAUGGGUACAAUUUCACUCUUUCCUUUAAUAUCAGUGAGUGGUGUUGGUACCUCCCACACUAAAGAAAUGGAGGUCCGAGGUCUGGAGAGAGAUCCAUGUGGUAGUGGUGAGAGUUGGGGGAUGGACUGGAUUGUUUUAUGACAGCCUGUGAUCCUUCCAUAUCUUCUUGCCUCUUCUGCCUGUGUAGAUACUGCUCCCCCACCCCACCCCACGAUCAGGCUCUGUCUUGUGCCAGUGUUGUUGGGUCCAUGCCCCCCGCCCUCAAGGCUGUGACCACAAGAGCCCCUCCCCUCCUCCUCGUGGUUCUGUGCCCUUGUUCAUUCUUGGGCUGAGAAACCUGGGCCUUCUGUUCCUGGGCAUGCUUCUGAUUAGUUACAAUAAAGUGCUUAAAAGCCAA